GUAGUUACUUCUACAAAUCAUGUCAAGUUCUGCACUCCUACAUUUAGCAUAUACAAACCACGCCUACAGGUUCUGCAUUUCAUAUAGGCAGCUUGUCAUUAGGUUCUGUACUUUUGCAUUUCAGAAAUCUUGUCUUUGGGUUCGGCACUUCUGCAUUUUUUAAGAAAUCCAUGUUUGUAAAUUUCUACACUUCUGCAUCUCACAUAGAGAACAUGUCUACAGGAUUCUACAUUUUUGCCUAUCAUAUAGAGAGCAUGUCUAUAGGUUCUUCCUGAAUUCUACGUAUCCAUCACUAGGCAAAUGAUAAAUAGGUUCAAAUAAUAAUCUGUAUUUUAGACACCAUGCUUAUAGGAUCUCUGCACUUCUAUAACGUUUUAAAAUCAAUAACACUUAGAAAUCAUGCCUAUAGGAGUAAUCGAAUCUGAACCGUCUAUCUUGCUUACAAGUCUAAAAUCAGUAGUGACGUUACUCAAAUCCGCUUAGCUUAUGUUAUUCUAUAGUCAACAAUUCUUCUUCUGAAAUCAGUAUAUCUCUCUUCUGCAUUAUUAGAUAUCAUGCAUAUAGGUCUCCCUUAAGCAAGAUAUAUGGUGAAUUAACUAAUAAAUCAGGUUUCGCUAAUUCCAACCAGCAGGCAGACCUGACUCGGGCUUCUCAUCUGAAAUAUGUAAUAGAUCAAUUUUCCAUAAUUUAAUUUUAAUUCAGACCAUAACCAGUACAUGCAAGACAUGCUAAACAAUCUUCCCUUAAGUGAAGAGGCAUGUUUGAGCCUUUUAAUUAUUAUGUGUUCCCAUAUAUGCUAUACGUGUUUUGCGUGACGCCUUUGAAUUUUAUGCUUUUGAAACCACAAAUAGCCCAAAUCUCCUUUCCCUUUAGGGAUAGUAGUCCCAAAUGCCUCUGGGGAUGAUAGGAUCAUGGCGGGUACUAGCAUGUAAUUAGUAAAGAAACCAUUCUUCAUUUAAUACAUCAACGGGGCAAGAAAGGGUAUGGAUAUGAUGA
rnacentral:lncRNA from 1 species